rnacentral:rRNA from 1 species
UACGUAGGGUGCAAGCGUUGUCCGGAAUUAUUGGGCGUAAAGAGCUCGUAGGCGGUCUGUUGCGUCGGCUGUGAAAACCCGGGGCUCAACCCCGGGCCUGCAGCCGAUACGGGCAGACUAGAGUUCGGCAGGGGAGACUGGAAUUCCUGGUGUAGCGGUGAAAUGCGCAGAUAUCAGGAGGAACACCGGUGGCGAAGGCGGGUCUCUGGACUGGUACUGACGCUGAGGCGCGAAAGCGUGGGGAGCAAACGGG